GAACAUAUAUAUAUAUAUAUAUAUAUAUAUAUAUAUAUAUAUAUANNNNNNNNNNNNNNNNNNNNNUUGGGCUUGAAGCGUGGAUAAUGCAUAGGCCCACCUACCAUAUGCUUAAAUUCCACUUUUUAAUUAGAAAGUGAGGGGAGCGGGGAUCGAACUCUAGACCACUUAGUCAUAGAGGCUCUGUCAGGCCGUCUCUCAACCGAUGUGGGACUCUUAACACACCCCCUCACGCCCAGCACUAUUGGGCUUGGUGCGUGGAUAUAAACGGUAGGUGGCCCGAUAGCGGAAACCUGAUAACAGGUGGCCCAAUGGAUCGUGGAGAAGCUCUGAUACCAUCUUAGAAUUGAGUAUUGGGCCUAACUCAUCCUUACAAAACCGGCUCGUAAGGUGAGGAUUGCCUCUAGUAUAUAAACACUUAGUCAGGCCGUCUCUCAACCGAUGUGGGACNNNNNNNNNNNNNNNNNNNNNNNNNNNNNNNNNNNNNNNNCACGCCCAGCACUAUUGGGCUUGGUGCGUGGAUAUAAACGGUAGGUGGCCCGAUAGCGGAAACCUGAUAACAGGUGGCCCAAUGGAUCGUGGAGAAGCUCUGAUACCAUCUCAGAUUUUAUAUUUGGCCUAACUCAUCCCUACAAAACCGGCUUGUAAGGUGAGGACUGCCACUUGCUUAUAAACACUACACAGGCCAUAUCUCUUAGCAAUGUGGGACUAAAUCCACCCCUUCACACCCAACACAAUGAAGGUGUUGGAGGCUGCAAUGAAGGCAACUCAAAUGCCGCAAUUAGGCAGAUGGGGGCGGGCCGCAAUGAAGGUGGAAUUUCCAACACACCCCCUCACGCUCGGGCCCAAUGUGCCUGAAGCGUGGACAAUGCGGGAAGCCCAACAAUAGAUCUAGGAUAGGCUCUGAUACCAUCUCAAAUAACCGAUUAUCCCAAAACCUUAAGGUGUUAGGAUAGAGCCAUAUCAAUGGUUUUAUAUUAUUUCUAACAAUAUAUAUAAAAUGAUUUAUUUUUCAAUUGUGAUUUUCACUUUUCAGGAUAUUGGGCAACCAAGGCCCGCCUUCUGUAUGGUAAGAUUCUCUUGCUUAAUUUCAAUUUUUUUUUGUGUUAUUCUACAAAAAUUUCGCGAUUUUGCCACGUAAAUCUUGAGUGUGGCCUAUCUAGACGUCGCAAAAUUAAGACACAGUUAAAUCAAACUUGUGCCACAGUUAUCUCUAUUUGAUAUUCAGCAGUUUUUAUUGUUUUUUAAUAAGAAUUUUUUUUUACUGAACAAAAAUACUGUGGCUAACAUUGUUGUUAGCGUCUUUAAAAACAGGAUUUUCGCUACGGUGUUAAUCGUGGCUAAUCUAAAAUAUAACUUUGCCACUUAGUAACCAUGGCAAACUUUAAUUUUAUUUUUUAAAAAAAUUAAAGUUCUGCAUUUCUUUUAUUGUUUUCUUUUUUAAAAUUUUAAUUUGCAACAAUUUAUAUUAACAAGCACCAAAAUAGUAAAUGAGUAUCAAAUACUUUGGUGAUAUGUUUAGUGUAAUUAAAGAUGGUUUUUUCUAAUCUACCCUCUCGGGGUAUAUACCCAUAAACCAAUGAGAACAAGCUAUAUGCAAGUCCACAUGUGCAAAUUCAAAAGUUUGUUACAAGUUUCUUGUGGGAACCACAUGUAAAUCUACUAUGUGGCUUGUUUUAUUGAUUGAUGGGUAUAUGCCCUCAAUUUAUGAAAGGAUAGAGUAGGCCUCACCAUUAAAGAUAUUUUGAAUUGCCAACAUAUGUUUCGGUGAUAUGUUUAGAGAAUUGCCAACCGAUUAUGUGUUUGCCUAAUCCCCGAAGAGUUUAGCAUUUUAUAUUCAUUUCCAGUCAAUUAACUGCAUAUAAUUAUUUACCAAAAUACAAAACUUCACUGUAAUUUUCUUUUUUUUUGCAGAUUAUGUUGGUGGAAUUUACGACGGUAUGAGUAUGACAGUCAUACUAUGACUUCCAUUUCAUCUAUACAUUGUUGUCAGAUAUACACUUGAUUGAAUUGAAAAAGGGAUCGAACUAUAAAAAGAUGUAGUCUAAGAACAAUGAAGCUACUCAUUUUUUAGUACUUAAGUGUGUCUCACAUGUACAUAU
rnacentral:lncRNA from 1 species